rnacentral:rRNA from 1 species
GAUGAACGCUGGCGGCGUGCCUAAUACAUGCCAGUCGAGCGAACAGACGAGGAGCUUGCUCCUCUGACGUUAGCGGCGGACGGGUGAGUAACACGUGGAUAACCUACCUAUAAGACUGGGAUAACUUCGGGAAACCGGAGCUAAUACCGGAUAACAUGUUGAACCGCAUGGUUCAACAGUGAAAGACGGUCUUGCUGUCACUUAUAGAUGGAUCCGCGCCGCAUUAGCUAGAUGGUAAGGUAACGGCUUACCAAGGCAACGAUGCGUAGCCGACCUGAGAGGGUGAUCGGCCACACUGGAACUGAGACACGGUCCAGACUCCUACGGGAGGCAGCAGUAGGGAAUCUUCCGCAAUGGGCGAAAUCCUGACGGAGCAACGCCGCGUGAGUGAAGAAGGUCUUCGGAUCGUAAAACUCUGUUAUUAGGGAAGAACAAAUGUGUAAGUAACUAUGCACGUCUUGACGGUACCUAAUCAGAAAGCCACGGCUAACUACGUG